UACGGGGGGAGCAAGCGUUGUUCGGAUUUACUGGGCGUAAAGGGCGCGUAGGCGGCCAGCACAAGUCAGUUGUGAAAUCUCCGGGCUUAACUCGGAACGGUCAAGUGAUACUGUUGUGCUAGAGUACAGAAGGGCAAUCGGAAUUCUUGGUGUAGCGGUGAAAUGCGUAGAUAUCAAGAGGAACACCAGAGGCGAAGGCGGAUUGCUGGGCUGAUGACUGACGCUGAGGCGCGAAAGCUAGGGUAGCAAACGGG
rnacentral:rRNA from 1 species